AACAUAUUCACAUGACAAGAGGAUCAAGAAGCAGAAAAUCAAGGAGCAGAAAAUGAACAUGUCUUUCUUGAUAUUCUUGCAAAGGUUUCAGAGUACUCUCUUAAAUUCAUUGAGCUGGAUGAGAACUUCAAGAGAUCCAUCGAGUUCAGGAUGAUCCAGGAUUAAAGAAAGCAUGUACAUUGCAGAGAGGGAGCACAAGUAAAGCCUAGCUAGAAUGGAGCACACAUUCUUCAGUGAAAAAGAAGACCAGUGAGCUGAUGGAGAAUGUGUCCCAGGUGAUGGCCCAGGAGAUAGAGCUGAGGGGGAAGGUGGGGACCCUGGAGUAGGGCCUAGGGCUCAUGGUGGGGGAGUUUGAGAGACAGCACCAGGCCCUGGACAGCACCCAGGCCGGCCAAGUGGAGUUGGACAAGUUGCAGAAGCUGCUGGCCAUGCAGGAGAAGGAGAUGGGGCGAGUGAAGCAGCAGCCACAGCAUUGUGUAGCAAUGCACAGAGCUAGAAUGAUUCUUCCAGGAGGCCCUGGGCAAGGUGAAGCAUGAGAUCCAGGCCUGCCGGCUGCAGUACAGGCAGGAGGCCCACCGUAGGAGGAUGAGAAAGGCCUGGUCAGGCAAGCAGGAGUACUCCUGAAUCCAC
ensembl:lncRNA